GACGAACGCUGGCGGCGUGCUUAACACAUGCAAGUCGAACGGAAAGGCCCUUCGGGGUGCUCGAGUGGCGAACGGGUGAGUAACACGUGGGUGAUCUGCCCUGCACUUUGGGAUAAGCCUGGGAAACUGGGUCUAAUACCGAAUAGGACCAUGGCCUUCAUGGGUUGUGGUUGAAAGCUUUUGCGGGGUGGGAUGGGCCCGCGGCCUAUCAGCUUGUUGGUGGGGUAAUGGCCUACCAAGGCGACGACGGGUAGCCGGCCUGAGAGGGUGACCGGCCACACUGGGACUGAGAUACGGCCCAGACUCCUACGGGAGGCAGCAGCGGGGAAUAUUGCACAAUGGGCGCAAGCCUGAUGCAGCGACGCCGCGUGAGGGAUGACGGCCUUCGGGUUGUAAACCUCUUUCAGUAGGGACGAAGCGCAAGUGACGGUACCUAUAGAAGAAGGACCGGCCAACUACGUGCCAGCCGCCGCUGUAACAC
rnacentral:rRNA from 1 species